GUGCUGGGACAAAUCAACAUUUUCAAGUUUUUGCAUUGUUGUUGCAUUAAUUAGGAUGCUGGGAGAGACCACAGAGUUAAGCAAACCCCAUCUGCACAUCGCCGAAUCCUGGCUUUCAACUAGCAAAUUAUUACAUAUCAUAACUCAGAAAGCAGAUGUUGAUCUGGGCAGAGCUAAACAUCAUCUCUACUGCACAGCUGCGUGUGCACAGGUGCAUCACACAUCAAAGGUGGCUAUCAAGGUGGCUUUGUUUGUUUACUUCAGUUCAAACUGUGCCGCUUCUGCGCAGCAAGAGCAAAGUCUCGAUCCAGAUUGCAGCUCCCCAACACCACCAGCACCUUAGCACCUGCUCCAAGCUCAGCUAAAUCACUCCCAAGCGUACCCCCGCCCGACCACGUGGCUCACUGGGAGAACGGGCGAGGAGCAGGAGCGGCGGUGGUAAUUAAAGCGUGCGGCAGGGGGGCUUAGCUUGGAUGGGGUGAAGUGCCGGGUUUUCGGGGAAGAGAGAAGGCCACUCCUGUAGGGCAAAGCCACGAUGCCAUCUGUUGAACGGGCUCUCGGUGGGCGGCCGGGGCUGACAGAGCUGAACCUGGGACUUCUGCAGAGGGCUUUUCGCAUACCCAGACACACAAAGACUGCAGCACUGGAGUUGCGUAGUUGUGUCUGCAACAACAGAUCCGUGCAGGUUGUUGUGUUGCAAGGAUCACAAUGAAAACCAAAGCUUGCGGCUACAAUGAGUCAGCAAGCCUAUUUUAUUUUUAGGUUAUUUUCCAUUUCUAUAUAUUUUGUAUAUGGUGAGUGGUGCGUAUAUGCGCAUGCAUAUUUAUAAUAGUAAAAUGUUAUGCAAUUAAGUACAUGGAUAUUUACAUACUUUCCAGAAAACGUAGCCUUGAUUUUGUUCUUUAUAUUUUUUUAA